AUACGUAGGGGACAAGCGUUAUCCGGAUUUAUUGGGUUUAAAGGGUGCGCAGGCGGCCAUUUAAGUCAGCGGUUAAAUCGUGGGGCUCAACCCCAUUCUGCCGUUGAUACUGGGUGGCUUGAUUGCGGUCGAGGUUGGCGGAAUUCGUUGUGUAGCGGUGAAAUGCAUAGAUAUGACGAAGAACACCGAUUGCGUAGGCAGCUGACCAGAUCGCAAAUGACGCUCAUGCACGAAAGUGCGGGGAUCGAACAGGAUUAGAUACCCUGGUAGUCCGCACAGUAAACGAUGAAUACUUGUUUUCGGCGAUAUAAUGUCGGAGGCAAAGCGAAAGCGAUAAGUAUUCCACCUGGGGAGUACGCCGGCAACGGUGAAACUCAAAGGAAUUGACGGGG
rnacentral:rRNA from 1 species